AGAACGAACGCUGGCGGCAUGCCUAACACAUGCAAGUCGAACGAGACCUUCGGGUCUAGUGGCGCACGGGUGCGUAACGCGUGGGAAUCUACCCUUGGGUUCGGAAUAACAGUUGGAAACGACUGCUAAUACCGGAUGAUGACGUAAGUCCAAAGAUUUAUCGCCCAGGGAUGAGCCCGCGUAGGAUUAGCUAGUUGGUGAGGUAAAGGCUCACCAAGGCGACGAUCCUUAGCUGGUCUGAGAGGAUGAUCAGCCACACCGGGACUGAGACACGGCCCAGACUCCUACGGGAGGCAGCAGUGGGAAUAUUGGACAAUGGGCGAAAGCCUGAUCCAGCAAUGCCGCGUGAGUGAUGAAGGCUUAGGUGUAAAGCUCGUUUACCCGGGAAGAUAAUGACUGUACCGGAGAAUAAGCUCCGCUAACUCGUGCCAGCAGCCGC
rnacentral:rRNA from 1 species